rnacentral:rRNA from 1 species
GACGAACGCUGGCGGCGUGCUUAACACAUGCAAGUCGAACGAAGUGGCGGACGGGUGAGUAACGCGUAAUCAACCUGCCCUUCAGCGGGGAACAACAGUUGGAAACGACUGCUAAUACCGCAUACUGAAGGAGGGGAUUGCGUCGGAUUAGCUAGUUGGAGUGGUAACGGCCCACCAAGGCGAAGAUCAGUAGCCGGUCUGAGAGGAUGAACGGGCAAAUUGUGACUGAGACACGGGCCAGACUCCUACGGGAGGCAGCAGUGGGGAAUCUUCCGCAAUGGACGAAAGUCUGACGAAGCAACGCCGGGUGAGUGAUGACGGCCUUCGGGUUGUAAAGAUCUGUUAAUCGGGACGCGGUACCGGAAUAGAAAGCCACGGCUAACUACGUGCCAGCAGCCGCGGUAAUUC